CAGUAGCCGCGGGAAUACAGAGGGUGCGAGCGUUAAUCAGAAUUACUGGGCGUAAAGGGCGCGUAGGCGGUUAGGAAGGUGUGAUGUGAAAGCCCUGGGCUUAACCUAGGAAGUGCAUCGCAAACCAACUAGCUGGAGUAUAAGAGAGGGUGGCGGAAUUUCCGGUGUAGCGGUGAAAUGCGUAGAGAUCGGAAGGAACGUCAAUGGCGAAGGCAGCCACCUGGCUUAAUACUGACGCUGAGGCGCGAAAGCGUGGGGAGCGAACAGGAUUAGAUACCCCCGUAGUCCCUGUCUCUUAUAA
rnacentral:rRNA from 1 species